rnacentral:misc_RNA from 1 species
ACAUCUCAACUCUCAUGGCUUGCCAUGAUGAGCUUGGACUUUGGGGGUCUUGCCGGCCUGUGAGUCGGCUCCUCUCAAAUGAAUCAGCUCGCCAGUGUUUGGUGGCAUCACAGGUGUGAUAACUAUCUACACUUGUGGUUUUCCACCAGGUAACCUCUAGCAAUGGAGGUUCGCUGGAGCUCAUAAUCAUCUCUCCUCAACGAGGACAGAUUUUGACC